AGAGUUUGAUCCUGGCUCAGGAUGAACGCUAGCGACAGGCCUAACACAUGCAAGUCGAGGGGCAACGGGGGAGAGAGCUUGCUCUUUCCUGCCGGCGACCGGCGCACGGGUGAGUAACGCGUAUGCGACCUGCCCUGCACAGGGGGAUAACCCGGAGAAAUCCGGACUAAUACCACAUGCCCCGUUGGAGCUGCAUGGCUCUUACGGGAAAGGAGGCGACUCCGGUGCAGGAUGGGCAUGCGUGACAUUAGCUAGUCGGCGGGGUAACGGCCCACCGAGGCGACGAUGUCUAGGGGUUCUGAGAGGAAGGUCCCCCACACUGGUACUGAGACACGGACCAGACUCCUACGGGAGGCAGCAGUGAGGAAUAUUGGUCAAUGGGCGGGAGCCUGAACCAGCCAAGUCGCGUGAGGGAAGACGGUCCUAUGGAUUGUAAACCUCUUUUGUCAGGGAGCAAUUCCCGCCACGCGUGGCGGGAGGGAGAGUACCUGAAGAAAAAGCAUCGGCUAACUCCGUGCCAGCAGCCGCGGUAAUACGGAGGAUGCGAGCGUUAUCCGGAUUUAUUGGGUUUAAAGGGUGCGUAAGCGGAGUGCCAAGUCAGCGGUAAAAAUUCGGGGCUCAACCCCGUCGUGCCGUUGAAACUGGCGCCCCUUGAGUGGGCGAGAAGUAUGCGGAAUGCGUGGUGUAGCGGUGAAAAUGCAUAGAUAUCACGCAGAACCCCGAUUGCCAAGGCAGCAUACCGGCGCCCUACUGACGCUGAAGCACGAAAGCGUGGGUAUCGAACGAGGAUUAGAUACCCUGGUAGUCCACGCAGUAAACGAUGGAUAAUAGCUGUGCGGGGGGACUGACCCCUGGGUGGCCCAGCGAAAGCGUUAAGUAUCCCAAGUGGGGGAGUACGCCGGCAACGGUGAAACUCAAAGGAAUUGACGGGGGCCCGCACAAGCGGAGGAACAUGUGGUUUAAUUCGAUGAUACGCGAGGAACCUUACCCGGGCUCAAACGACACAGGAACACUUUUGAAAGGAGGUGGCUCUACGGAGCCUGUGUCGAGGUGCUGCAUGGUUGUCGUCAGCUCGUGCCGUGAGGUGUCGGCUUAAGUGCCAUAACGAGCGCAACCCCCAUCGACAGUUGCUAACGAUUUAAGUCGAGGACUCUGUCGAGACUGCCGGCGCAAGCUGCGAGGAAGGCGGGGAUGACGUCAAAUCAGCACGGCCCUUACGUCCGGGGCGACACACGUGUUACAAUGGCAGGUACAGCGGGAGGCCACCUGGCGACAGGGAGCGGAACCCGAAAGCCUGUCUCAGUUCGGAUUGGAGUCUGCAACCGGACUCCAUGAAGCUGGAUUCGCUAGUAAUCGCGCAUCAGCCACGGCGCGGUGAAUACGUUCCCGGGCCUUGUAAAAAGCGCCCGUCAAG
rnacentral:rRNA from 1 species